CUAAGGCCUUUUCUCUUCAGACCUAAACCUAGCAAGCACAAAAAAACCCGAGGUGGAGGAGGCGGCUGCGGCGGCCGCGCGAGGUGGUGGCGGCGGCUGCGGUGCGCGCACGAGGAUAUGGAUAAGAGUUGGAUGAAUUUGCCUGAUAGGUUCUCACAAGGUUAUAUAGCCGGUGUGAAUGCAUUUAUCGAAUUUUCCUGUCAACAAAAUAGAGAGAGGGAUGCACUGCUUUGUCCUUGCGAAAGGUGUAUGAAUAUAAGCCAAAAACCUAUCAAUGAAGUCCGAACUCAUCUAGUAUUAUAUGGCAUACAAGUUUCAUACAAGCAUUGGGUUUUUCAUGGUGAACAAGUGGACCUAGAUAUUGAUCCAGUUGAUGAGCCUAUCAAUGAUGAAGAUGAUGAGGAUUUUGAUGGUCUGGACAUGAUUCAAGAUCUGUUAGGAGACAUCCAU
rnacentral:lncRNA from 1 species